GUUCAAAGUUUCGCUUGCACGAGUCACUUUGAAUUUAUUCUCGCUAGAAAACACACGUAACUCUCCAGAAUGUCGACGAUUAAAAUUUUAUUUUUUUUAGCAGUAAUUAUUAUAAUUACAAUUAUUGUUUAAAAAUUAUUUUUAAAAAACUAAUUUUAAAAUGUGUGAUUUUUUUAUUUUUUUAAAUUUUGAUAUUUAAAUAAUUUUUUGUACAAAAUGGAUAAAUUUUGUUAGUUCAAGUUUAAACAAGUUGUCAAAUUUUAUUUUUGCAUUAAUUAUAAAAUUCAUCACAAGUCAAACAAUAGGCCCUACACACAGAUUUAAGUGAUAAGAAAUGUCAAAAGCUCUCGUAAGUAUGUGUGUGAAUUAUAAAUAUUUACAUAGGCAAAGGUUGAUAAUGUCAUUUCAACAUUGUUGUUUAAAGAAAUCACACGUAUUUAAAAUGUCUCUAAAUAAAGUUUUGGAAAUUUCAAUAAUUGUUGUUUGCUUUAUUUUUAAAAUGCUCAAAUAUUUUCUGAAAAUCUGUUUUAUUGGGUUUAGAAGUUGUUUCGCCUUCUUUGAUCGAUUAGAUAACUGGAUUGGAUUGGAUCGCGAAAUGUUGAAGAAUUAAAAAAUAAGAGUUAAUUUAAGAUUUAGAGUUAGUUGUAGAGGCUCUAGAAUACCGGUUAGGAUGUUCAAAUAUUAUAAUUAUAAGAAUUAUAAUUAAACUUGAAGGAAAUGGAGAGAUUUCAGUGAAAUUUUAUAAUUACAAAGUAAAAGAAGAAAAGUUUGAUGCAUAUUUAGAGAAGUGUCAACAAAAUUAAAGCAAAUUAUGACAAAUUUGACGUUUUAGUUGCUUAUAAGUUAAAAAUAUUGCAGAGUUGGACAUUUGAAAAAAUAUAAUAUGGAAUAUAUUUUGAGUGACUAAAGACAUUUAGUGUCAACUAUGCAAAAAAAAAACUAAAAUUUAAAAAUAAAUGAAGUGAUGAAAUUAAAAGAAUAGAUGAGAAGUAGUAUUAAACUAAAAAAAAUUUUUUAAAAUAAUGCCAUAAUUUUAUUUUUUUUUAAAAGGAUUUGUGACUUAAGAAUAUUGUAUUUUUUAAUUCAUUAAAUUCCUUCCUCUUGUUGAAAUUGUACCAUGAUUACCUAAAAUUUAAAAAAAUAUAUAUAAACUAAUUUUCAAAAAUUAAAAUAAUGUUUACCAGAUAA